rnacentral:rRNA from 1 species
GACGAACGCUGGCGGCGUGCUUAACACAUGCAAGUCGAACGAAGUGGCGAACGGGUGAGUAACGCGUAAUCAACCUGCCCUUCAAAGGGGGACAACCGUUGGAACCGACUGCUAAUACCGCAUAAUGACGGAGGGGAUUGCGUUGGAUUCGCUAGUUGGGGGGGUAACGGCCCACCAAGGCGAUGAUCAGUAGCCGGUGUGGGAGGAUGAACGGCCACAUUGGGACUGAGACAAGGCCCAGACGCCUACGGGAGGGAGCAGUGGGGAAUCUUCCGCAAUGGACGAAAGUCUGACGGAGCAACGGCGCGGGAGUGAUGACGGCCUUCGGGUUGGAAAGCUCUGUUAAUCGGGACGCGGUACCGGAAUAGAAAGCCACGGCUAACUACGUGCCAGCAGCCGCGGUAAUUC